rnacentral:rRNA from 2 species
AAUCCAUAGGUUAAUGAGGCGAACCGGGGGAACUGAAACAUCUAAGUACCCCGAGGAAAAGAAAUCAACCGAGAUUCCCCCAGUAGCGGCGAGCGAACGGGGAGGAGCCCAGAGCCUGAAUCAGCAUGUGUGUUAGUGGAAGCGUCUGGAAAGGCGCGCGAUACAGGGUGACAGCCCCGUACACAAAAGCGCAUGUGCUGUGAGCUCGAUGAGUAGGGCGGGACACGUGGUAUCCUGUCUGAAUAUGGGGGGACCAUCCUCCAAGGCUAAAUACUCCUGACUGACCGAUAGUGAACCAGUACCGUGAGGGAAAGGCGAAAAGAACCCCGGCGAGGGGAGUGAAAAAGAACCUGAAACCGUGUACGUACAAGCAGUGGGAGCACCCUUUGGGUGUGACUGCGUACCUUUUGUAUAAUGGGUCAGCGACUUAUAUUCUGUAGCAAGGUUAACCGAAUAGGGGAGCCGGAGGGAAACCGAGUCUUAACCGGGCGUUAAGUUGCAGGGUAUAGACCCGAAACCCGGUGAUCUAGCCAUGGGCAGGUUGAAGGUUGGGUAACACUAACUGGAGGACCGAACCGACUAAUGUUGAAAAAUUAGCGGAUGACCUGUGGCUGGGGGUGAAAGGCCAAUCAAACCGGGAGAUAGCUGGUUCUCCCCGAAAGCUAUUUAGGUAGCGCCUCGUGAAUUCAUCUCCGGGGGUAGAGCACUGUUUCGGCUAGGGGGCCAUCCCGGCUUACCAACCCGAUGCAAACUGCGAAUACCGGAGAAUGUUAUCACGGGAGACACACGGCGGGUGCUAACGUCCGUCGUGAAGAGGGAAACAACCCAGACCGCCAGCUAAGGUCCCAAAGUCAUGGUUAAGUGGGAAACGAUGUGGGAAGGCCCAGACAGCCAGGAUGUUGGCUUAGAAGCAGCCAUCAUUUAAAGAAAGCGUAAUAGCUCACUGGUCGAGUCGGCCUGCGCGGAAGAUGUAACGGGGCUAAACCAUGCACCGAAGCUGCGGCAGCGACACUGUGUGUUGUUGG